GACGAACGCUGGCGGCGUGCCUAAUACAUGCAAGUAGAACGCUGAAGGAGGAGCUUGCUUCUCUGGAUGAGUUGCGAACGGGUGAGUAACGCGUAGGUAACCUGCCUGGUAGCGGGGGAUAACUAUUGGAAACGAUAGCUAAUACCGCAUAAGAGUAGAUGUUGCAUGACAUUUGCUUAAAAGGUGCAAUUGCAUCACUACCAGAUGGACCUGCGUUGUAUUAGCUAGUUGGUGGGGUAACGGCUCACCAAGGCGACGAUACAUAGCCGACCUGAGAGGGUGAUCGGCCACACUGGGACUGAGACACGGCCCAGACUCCUACGGGAGGCAGCAGUAGGGAAUCUUCGGCAAUGGACGGAAGGCUGACCGAGCAACGCCGCGUGAGUGAAGAAGGGUGUCGGAUCGUAAAGCUCUGUUGUAAGAGAAGAACGAGUGUGAGAGUGGAAAGUUCACACUGUGACGGUAUCUGACCAGAAAGGGACGGCUAACUACGUG
rnacentral:rRNA from 1 species